rnacentral:lncRNA from 1 species
GAAAGACAGCUCUCUGGAGCAGUGCAUUCCCCCCGAUCUCUACCUCCUUGUGCUUCUCUUAGCUCAGACUUCAAAGGAACCCAACCCUUGUGGCACUUUCACUGAAGGGGAGAUAAAUGAGUCUGAGGAUUGUUCUCAUUUUUUUUACUUAAAUCCCAUUGCUUUUGGUUGCCAGGAUCUCUGUCAACCUAUAGGGAGGUUUCAUCUGUAUUGUGUCUAAGCCAAAGGAUCUCCUCAGGGUUUACCCCCCUUAUUAAGGUAUUAAUGAAAAUAAAAGGAUUGUGAUGUGACCCAUGGUUCUGCCUAGAUGUAGGAUCAUUUACGCUUUGCUUUGAGAUCAGCUGGCAGGAAGCGCUGCUCGUAUAUUAAAUGUCUCCUGCCUUUCUAUCCAGGAUCAUGGCUGGGGUUCUGCACAGAAAUGAGUGAUGAGGACCUGCAGAAAUAGUUCAAAGGUCUGCCUGUUCCCCUGGUCAGCCAUGCUACGUGAUGGAGCACUGCUGAAAAUGUUAUUAAUGUACCUGCUGUUUCAGCAAAGCUCUUCAAAGUUCCCUGCUCUAAGAGUAGAACUGCUUACCACCAAUGUUAGAAUCAAAGUUGUUUGAGUUGGAAGGGAUCUUUAAAGCUCCUCUAGUCCAACCCCACUGCAACAGGGACGCCUACAGCUCCAUCAGGAUGUCCCUGUUCAUUCCCAUUUCUCACUUUUAAUGAAUUUUAAUAUGAGCUGUGAAAUGAAUGUUAUCAGUUUAUUUGGACUUUGAAAAGUUCUAGAAUUAUUCCACAAAAAGCAUCAAUGGAUCAGAACAAGAUGUCCCCAAAGAGCAGAGGGACAAAUAAAACACUUGACAAAGGAGAUAAACUCUCCAUUAUGUUGUAUUUAUUUCCUAGCCUGCAUUUAGGCUGUGUGAACUGCUCACAGCUCUCAUUAGGCCAGGCAGGCUCCCUCCCUCAAACAAGCCAUAAAUGUGGACUGCAGAUGCCGGUUUAUGGGACAAUUGAACACACCCAACAGAUCCUCCCUGAUACAGCCAUCUCAGCUACCUAUGACCACCACAGACCUCGAGAGAAGCCAGCUCAUGAAAAUGUCUUCAUCCAAACAACAGCAAAUAUAAUACUUUAACAGCAGAUGCAACAGGAAAAGCACAAUUGAUGGCUGCAUGGAGGAUUAUCUACACUGGAUAUCCAUCCUGCAUGGAAAAGAUAUUUUGCUGUCAGUGUUUUAUAAUACUCUUCUGAAAUGCGGGGUACAUAUUCUGGUGUUUAGAUAGCAACUGGUUCAAAACUGACACAGUUACUACAAUAUGGUCAUAUCCAAGGGACUUCGGCUACUCAAGAGGACUUUGAGCUUCCACCUCUUGGAAGGCUGAAAAAUGCCUCAUGGAAAUCCCAUUCCCUACAGCAACUUUUUUCUCCUCACACUGGUUUUAUUGUUGUCUUGAUUGUUUUAAUUACUUGGGAAAUUUUUCUGCCAGAUUAUAAGUAAUCCUGUACAAGCAUUCUGCCAUUGUAAUGUAUUGCUUUUCAAGAGAUGGUGCCGUUUCAUUUUAGCACUGAAUGUUCAGUGGAAGAUUUGGAUGGGCUAUUUAUCAGGACUUUAAGCCACUUUGUCACAGUAAUGGUGAUGUGGCACUGCAUGCUGAAAGCCUUUCCUGCCAUGGCAUAAGGAGCAAGAAGAAAUUCAUCUCCUUAUAAGUUAUUCAUCAUUCAUUGUCAGCAGAGUCAGUGACUGGGCUAGCCUUCAGGUGCUGGUCACCUGUGAGAUAGGUUCAAUCUCUGAAGAGUGAGGCUGAGAAAGGUAACAAAGCACUCUGAAAAUUAUUUUCCACCACUGCCUACAGCUCCCACCACCAUCUGUUUGUGCACAGGAGGAUGUAAUCCCUUGUUUUCCUGUGUACAGAUUCACCAAGAUUAAACACCAUGAGCUAAAUCCUCAUCUGAAGGAAGCCAAAUUCUAUGGGAUAUUGUUGAUUUACACCAGUUCAGCAGCUAAUCCUUUGAAUCUUUGAGUAAAAUAAAACUAAACAGCAGCAAUUCA